rnacentral:tRNA from 1 species
CGCUAAGAAGCUAAACAGGGAACAGCGUUAGCCUUUUAAGCUAAAGAUUGGCGGCACCCAACCGCCCUUAGCGA